rnacentral:sRNA from 1 species
GCUGGGCAUGGUGGCGUACACCUGUCAUCCUGGUGACUCAGGAAGCUGAGGCAAGAGGAUCACAAGUUGGAGGCCAGUCUCAGCAACUUAGUGAGAUCCUGUCUCAA